UACGGAGGAUGCGAGCGUUAUCCGGAUUCAUUGGGUUUAAAGGGUGCGUAGGCGGACUUAUAAGUCAGUGGUGAAAUCCUGCAGCUUAACUGUAGCACUGCCAUUGAUACUGUUAGUCUUGAGUUUGGUUAAGGUAGGCGGAAUGUGUAAUGUAGCGGUGAAAUGCUUAGAUAUUACCCAGAACACCAAUUGCGAAGGCAGCUUACUGGACCGAUACUGACGCUGAUGCACGAAAGCGUGGGGAGCGAACAGG
rnacentral:rRNA from 1 species